rnacentral:rRNA from 1 species
UACGUAGGGCGCAAGCGUUAUCCGGAAUUAUUGGGCGUAAAGAGCUCGUAGGCGGUUUGUCGCGUCUGCCGUGAAAGUCCGGGGCUCAACCCCGGAUCUGCGGUGGGUACGGGCAGACUAGAGUGAUGUAGGGGAGACUGGAAUUCCUGGUGUAGCGGUGAAAUGCGCAGAUAUCAGGAGGAACACCGAUGGCGAAGGCAGGUCUCUGGGCAUUAACUGACGCUGAGGAGCGAAAGCCAGGGGAGCAAACGGG